rnacentral:rRNA from 1 species
AGAGGGCUCAAGCGUUAAUCGGAAUCACUGGGCUUAAAGGGUGCGCAGGCGGACAGGUAAGUGUCUUGUGAAAUCCCACGGCUCAACCGUGGAAUUGCUCGGCAGACUGCCUGUCUUGAGCUCGGCAGGGGCCGUCGGAACUCUAGGUGGAGCGGUGAAAUGCGUAGAUAUCUAGAGGAACGCCAAAGGUGAAGACAGACGGCUGGGCCGACGCUGACGCUCAGGCACGAAAGCGUGGGGGUAGCGAACGGGAUUAGAUACCCCGGUAGUCCAUGCCCUAAACGAUGUGCACUAGGUCGAGGAGGUUUUGACGCCAUCUCGGCCGCAGUAAAACAUUAAGUGCACCGCCUGGGAGUACGGUCGCAAGGCUA